AUUUGCAAAGUGUCUGUCAUAUAGCAGCUGCUCAAUAACCGACAACUUUGUGCAGCUUAAAAAGCAUGGGUUUUUAGAAACUGGGUUCAAAUUAUGAUAAUACUGCUUACCAGCUAUGUGACCACACAAAACUUUCCGCAGCCUCCGGCAGUGUGGAUGAUAAAAUACCUAGUGCUGCAUGGUCUGUUUGUUUGUGUGCUGGUUUUGGUGAGUACUGAAGAGCUAACAUGUACAAGGAUGCCUAGCAUGGUGCUUGCAUGACACAUAGUUGUCUCUUCCCAAAUGUUAAUUUCCUCCUUUAUCUCCUACUUCCUUCCAUUCAUAGUAAUAUUUAAUAUGCUUUGCUGAUAAUGAGGAUGUUUGGAAAGAAACUAAUGAGGUAAACAGUUGUAAAGGACACAUUUACACAGGGGCCAUUUGUUCCCUGUUAGGAGACUGACAAUUUUUUUCAUUCCAUAAUACAGGAAAUAAAGUGGUAUCUGUCAUUUCAGGAGGUGUGUCUGGGUGCUCUGGAGACUCUUCUGCUGCACCUCUUCCCUGCCACCAACCGUCCUUCCUCCUGCUACCAGAGCCGUGGCUCAGCUCUGCUUCAGGAGAUGGGACUUGUGCUCUGGGCAUCUGAGGACCUGCCAAGUGAGGACACUCCUCGAAUCCAUGGCCACCCGCGAGCAGCCUGGAGCCUGCCUCGCCCGCCACCCACAGGGUGCUCAUCGCGACCUUGACAACAGCCUCUCCCAGCUGACACCCGCCCCUUGCCGUGGGCACCGCGCUUCUCCGCAGCUCUCCAGAGCCUUCUGUCCAAAACCAGUAGGUCAACAAAAAGGAGUCGUCUGGUUUUGCUGUCUGAGCAACUCUGCGUGUCCGGUCAUCAGCAUGACUUUCUAAUUAGAGCCCCUUCCAAGUUGACAAGUCAUAACUUCACCCCCUGCCUGAAACCACGGAAUUAUUAACUUUAGCAGAUGUCUCAAGAAUGGCAUGUCACAAACACAGGUACACAGAGAAAUGACGCAUGUUCAUGGGACCUAAAGCUUUGAUUCAAGUGUUUCUGCAAAGCUGAAUGGACCGGAGCCAUCAAUAUCAUCUGGGAAAUCAUAUUUCUCAGGGCUGCAAGGGCUCACACAGCUUACUUGAAGCCGAAAUUAAAACAGAAUGAUGCUAAGGGCGAGGCAGCCAGAUAGACAAAUGUUCCAGUUCUACCUACACUGCAUACUAACUGUGUGUCGUGGGCAAGUUUUCUGAGCCUCAGUUUUUUUGUCUGCAAAAUGGAGCAAAUGAUACAGCCCCUCAAUGUCUUACCUACCAUUCCCGAACCUAAGAGCAAUAACAACUGGCGUCCUUUUCUUAAGUCAUUUGACAGUGAAAUCUAAUUGAUCUUAAUUAAUUUGGUGGUAAAACCCUUCCCUGGACUCUUAUGCACCGCUUUAUGGUCUGAAUUUAUUUUAUUUGAUGUGAACAUGCACGUUUUGCUACAGAAUCAUGAAUGUGUUAGUUAUAGGGUAUAGCCUCAGACCACUGGGUACAUAAUAUUAGAUGUUUGGUGCACUUGUUGUGAUGAGCUCUGAGUGGUCUAUGGAAUUGUUGAAUCGCUAUACUGUCCACCUGAAACUAAUAUUAUACUGUAUGUUAACCAACUGGAAUUAAAAUAAAAAAACUUAAAAAGCCA
rnacentral:lncRNA from 12 species